rnacentral:lncRNA from 10 species
GUUCCAGGAGCCUGGGGUGGAGAAUGCAAAGAUGGCAGUCACGCCCUAUUGUAUUCUUCUGUAACUGCCUUGAUGGUCCGAGGUUUCUGAAGUUGCUCCAAAUUGCUCUCUCUCAUUAGCCACACAUUAAGAAGGACACAACACUUUAAGAUGGAUACCAGUGAACUAGUCAGGAUCCAGAGGAGGGCAGCCUGCUGGUGGUCUAAUGUCCAGCUGAACAGCUAAAGAGAAAGGGUAAUUCAGUCUAAGGGACAGAAGAUGAAGAGAUGGCGCUUUCAAAUAUCUGAGCAGCUGUCAGUAUAAAUGAGGGAGAUGGCUUGUUCUGCCUCGUUUCAGUGGCUGGAGACAGCACUUAAGGGUAAAAAUUGCCAGGAGGUAGGAUGUUUGGGCCCCUAACUAGCUGUGUGACCUUUAGUAAAUCAUUUAACUGAAUAGGUACUGCCAUGAUAGAUGGGAGUAUGACCUCGGAGACCUAUGAAGUUUCCUUAUAAUCAUAAGUUGCUGUGAUCUUGUUUAAGUCUUGCCCCAAGUUACACAGCUUGUGGCAGAAUGAGGACUAGAAUACAUCUCUCCUAACCCCAAAUCCAGCACUCUCUCCAUGCCAUAUACCAUACAUUUUACAAAUUAUCUAGCACUCUCUCCAUGCCAUAUACCAUACAUUUUACAAAUUAUCUAGCACAUUGUUUAAAAACCAUCUCAGAUAUAAUUAUUCAUUAAUUACUAUGAAUUUCUCUUUUGUAGGAGCCACACCUUAAAAAGGAAACGUGUCUACAAACAUAUCAUUCUGUAAAGCAAAUAAUUUGCAUACAAUGUGCUUCCCAGGGACGCGGACUGUGUGAUUCAACUCUCCUUCCUGUCUACCUUCCAAAACAUUGUCUAUGUCCACGAUAUCCCCAAUGCCUAGCAUAGUGUUUGGUAUGUGGUAAGGACUCAAUUUUAAUCAAAUAAAUGAAUGGAUAAAUUGCAAAACCCAAAGGCAUUCUCCAAAGCACAAAAAUCUCAGCAUAUUUAACUCUUCCAUUAAAACCACUUAAAUUCUACCUUACAGAUUGGAAUCAUACCCCUGACAUGUUCUGAUGUAUCUCUGCACAGACCUGUGAUGUUAUCAGUUUAACACAUAUGUGAUCUCUCAGCAUGAAUAACCUUAAUGAAUACUAUAUAGAGUUUCAGUCGCAAACUUCCAGACACAGAAGGCGUAUUCUGUGACUGGCCAAAAUGGCAUGAGGUCCUGCAGUCCAU